GGGGUAGAAAGGUUUCGACGAGUCGAGAGGCGGUCCCGGGGGACAACCAACUUGAGCAAACUCCCCUUAAAGACCGUGGGUUUAAAAACCUCAACUCUUGGUUCGGACGCGGGUUCGAAUCCCGCCUACUCCACUA
rnacentral:tmRNA from 1 species